rnacentral:rRNA from 1 species
GUAUCAGAAGUGCGAAUGCUGACAUAAGUAACGAUAAAGCGGGUGAAAAGCCCGCUCGCCGGAAGACCAAGGGUUCCUGUCCAACGUUAAUCGGGGCAGGGGGAGUCGACCCCUAAGGCGAGGCCGAAAGGCGUAGUCGAUGGGAAACAGGUUAAUAUUCCUGUACUUGGUGUUACUGCGAAGGGGGGACGGAGAAGGCUAUGUUGGCCGGGCGACGGUUGUCCCGGUUUAAGCGUGUAGGCUGGUUUUCCAGGCAAAUCCGGAAAAUCAAGGCUGAGGCGUGAUGACGAGGCACUACGGUGCUGAAGCAACAAAUGCCCUGCUUCCAGGAAAAGCCUCUAAGCAUCAGGUAACAUCAAAUCGUACCCCAAACCGACACAGGUGGUCAGGUAGAGAAUACCAAGGCGCUUGAGAGAACUCGGGUGAAGGAACUAGGCAAAAUGGUGCCGUAACUUCGGGAGAAGGCACGCUGAUAUGUAGGUGAGGUCCCUC